AUUAUAGUUCAGUGUCUAGGUCAGAUAUAAUUAGAUGUUACAUUAAAAUAGCUUCACAGAGCCAUUUAUUCUGAUUUAAUUACUUAAAAUGAUAAUAUAAUGAGCAGUGCUUUCAAAGAAAAAAAGAAAUCUUUUAAUGAGCUCAUUUUAAGUUAAUAUAAGGCAAAUUAAUCAUUUAACAAAAUGCGAUAUACCUGCUGUGCCAGAGCCCUUUGAAAUACAACCUGAGCAACAGAUUUAUGACCAUCAAACUGUGUUUUUAUUCCAAUGUGGAGCAGAGCAAUAGCCAUGCAGAGCAGUCACCCGAGGAGCAGGAGCGUUUCCAAGCGUGCAAUUACUGGAGUGAAAGCAGGCAGCUCUGUGCAGGGAAGGAGCAGCCUGUGGUUCAUAACCCUGCCAGCAGCCCCAGCCCUCCCCUUGUCCCACCGGGCACCCCACACAGCCCCCAGCAAAGGUGUGCCCACCUCCAGAGCCGGCCCAUUCCUCUGCCAACAGCACUCCCUGCGCUUCCACAGGCACUUAAAUAAACAUUUAUACAGGGGCUAAGAGCAAGGCAAGACAGACGGAGUGGUUUGCAGCUCGUGUCCCAGCCACUCACCUCUUCUAUCCUAACCUGGAACUUCAGCCUAGCUAAGCCAGCAAGGAAAACCUGGAGAUACUUGUGGAGGAGGUAAAGGGGAGGGGUCCUGCUCCCAAGACUCAUUUCUUUCUCUCAACACAGACCUGCCUCAAUAAAAGAUUUUCAUACAUUUCCA
rnacentral:lncRNA from 1 species